rnacentral:rRNA from 1 species
UACGAAGGGGGCUAGCGUUGCUCGGAAUCACUGGGCGUAAAGGGUGCGUAGGCGGGUCUUUUAAGUCAGGGGUGAAAUCCCCCGGGCGUUAACCUGGGAACUGCCUUUGUGACUGCACGGCUAGAGUGUGUCAGAGGGAGGUAGAAUUCCACGUGUAGCAGUGAAAUGCGCAGAUAUCGGGAGGAACACCAGUAGCGAAGGCGGCUCUCUGGAGCCGUGACUGACG